AAGAAGUUUUGUAUAUUUAAAUACCAGCUAUGAUUUCUCAGCAGUCUCUGAUGUUGCCUGUUGAAGUUCAAAUGGAUUGCUUUCCAAAACAAGAGCCCAAUUAUUCCUUUGCACAAAUGCAAGAUUUUCUAAACGUCACCUGUGAACCAAUAGAAGAACAUUUCCCUUUGAAAGAUCUCAAAGAAGUCACCUCUGCUGAUAAACACAUGGCUGAGUUGGAGGUCCUGCAAAUGCCUGAAAGCAGCUUUGCUAACAUCACCUUCAAGGAGCCAAAAUCUCCAGUUGCUUCAAGGUCUUAUGCUGAGAUGGAAUUAGACCUGCCUCUUUCACCACA
rnacentral:lncRNA from 1 species